CAGUCCUUUUCACUACUGGAAUCAUCCAAAAGUGUUCCAUAUUUUCCCUUUUUUUUGCACUACAAAUAUUAGUUUUUCCUUUAGUUUUUAAGUAGAUCAUUUCUUUAUUUUUGUUAUGACGCGGGAACAUUGAAAUGUAUCAAUACAUUUUUCAACCUUGUUAGCCCUGCCAAUUAAAUGUCAAAUUCACAAUUUGCACAUUUCUGCUCGGCCAAAUUCAUGUAGCUAAAACAAGCAGAAAUGUGCACCACUCAGCGCCAUUUUUUUCUCGAGAGAGCUGCAAGUUUUGCUAGUUUUUGUAGUACGGGAACGCGUUGUAGCAGAAUUAGUACUAAUUAGUACUAAUUUGUAGGUUCUGGAACACAACUAAAAUCAAAACAAAACUUAAAAAACUAAAUAACAAAUAGAUCUGUUUUAGACAGCGACUAACAGAUUUGUAUGUGUAAAUAUCACAGAUUUGUUUUAAAUAACAUGAAUUGUUAUAAAAUCGAAUGCCCAGGUAGAGCUCACAAUAAUUGAACUGUGGCAGUGUGUAUACAGCGGAAUCUUCAUCGGGUUCAUUUAUAAUUCCUAUUGGAGACAAAUAUGGUGAUUCCGACCAGUUCGUGUAUUUUUCCAGUUCGUGGAUUUCAUUUAGGAGGAAGUUCUCAUGCGUGGCCAGUUUUUCAACAAAUCUCUUCUGUUGGUUUUGUGCAUACUUACAGAGAGGAACAAUACUUGAUGUAUUGUAAAUGAUUUCCAGUUCUUUGGCUACUAUUGGUGAAAUGGUAAACCAGACCGGGAACCCAUACAAUAAAAUAGGCCUUAUCGCUACUUUAUAGAGAAGUAGUUUUGUGUUCUGGGAUCGUGCGUGCUGGUUGAAUUUGAAAAGGUUGGUGAAAUGAACCCCCAGAUAUUUUAUUGACGUUUUCAAUGGAAUUUCAAUGUCUUCCAAUGUCAACCGUAACAGCUUACUUUCUGGGACUACAUAUUUUGCACAUUUUCCAGAGGCGUUUCGGAAGCAAAUUGCGGCUGAUUUUGAAGCGUUGAUUUGCAUACCCCACGUUUUGUAGUAGCUGUUGAUAAUAUUUAAAUGGGCUUUUACGCUAUUCAGAGCGGUUGUCGGUGAAGCGUAGUGCGAGUAAAUCAAGCAAUCGUCCGCGUAAAGAAUCGAUUGCGAAUUUUGGCCAAUGUGGGGAAAAUCGUACAGAAAAAAGUUAAACAUAUGUGGCGCCAACACACUUCCUUGAGGUACACCACUCCUUACUAAACCUAUUGAGGAAGAUAUACCAUUGAUGUGCACCAUGAAUUUGCGGCAAUUGAAGAAACUAAGCAUCAUUUUUAUGAGGUAUAGAUCUAUGCCAAUUUCAAUGAGCUUAUAUAGAAUUCCAACAUGACAUACGGAGUCGAAAGCUUUUUGAAUAUCCAAAGAUACAGCAACGGUGCACUUUUGAUUUCUUAAAUUUGAUGUUAUGUCGUUGUGGAACUUGAGGAGUGAGUAUAGUGUUGAAUGGGCAGGACCGAUUCAAGUAUUUUUCCAACGUUUGAAAGAAGUGAAAUUGGCCUGAAGUCGUCCACCGUGGUGCUAUUUGUUUUCUUUUUGAUUGGAAUAAUUUUCGCCAGUUUCCAUUGUAAAGGGAAAUAGCCGUUGUUUUUGCAGUGAUUAAAUACGCACGUAAAAAAAUUUAUAAUAGAAUCAGGAAAUUUCUUGAUUAAAAAAUUUGAAAUGCCAUCCGGACCACUUGAUUUCUUUGUAUUUAUAUUCAUAAUAAUGUUCCUUAUCGUUUCAGAAGAGGUGAAGUGGAAUCUAUCUGGAUUGUUCAUAGCACAAAAUCUAUCGUCAAAAGAAUAAAUGUGCGUUGUGGUGAUAAUCAAACAGGAAUCAACUCGAGAAGUGAGAUCGUCGACUGGAUUUAAAGGUAACUUUUCUUCAAAUAAAGUAGAAUUAUAAGAUUCAAACUUGUUUGCUAUUUCAAGGCUGUUUGUAAUAAAGUCAUUUCCAUGUUGCAGUUUUUGACAAUAUGCUGAUUUGUUUUUUCCUGUUAUUUGGGAAAUUUGCUUGAAUGCAGAUGGACUGGGUUUAAUAUUUUUUAACUUUUCAUUGAAUUUCCUGGCAGACUCUAUAUUAACUAAUUCUUUAAUAAUAGUUUUUAAAAGUUGGACUUGUUUAGAGAGUAUAGAAUACUCAAGACUGAUUCUGUUUCCCGUCCUAUGAAAAAUUUUCUUUAAUUCUUUCUGCCAUUGA